AGAGUUUGAUCAUGGCUCAGAACGAACGCUGGCGGCAGGCUUAACACAUGCAAGUCGAACGCCCCGCAAGGGGAGUGGCAGACGGGUGAGUAACACGUGGGAACCUUCCCUAUAGUACGGAAUAGCCCAGGGAAACUUGGAGUAAUACCGUAUACGCCCGAAAGGGGAAAGAAUUUCGCUAUAGGAUGGGCCCGCGUAGGAUUAGCUAGUUGGUGAGGUAAUGGCUCACCAAGGCGACGAUCCUUAGCUGGUUUGAGAGAACGACCAGCCACACUGGGACUGAGACACGGCCCAGACUCCUACGGGAGGCAGCAGUGGGGAAUAUUGGACAAUGGGCGCAAGCCUGAUCCAGCCAUGCCGCGUGAGUGAUGAAGGCCUUAGGGUUGUAAAGCUCUUUUGCCGGGGACGAUAAUGACGGUACCCGGAGAAUAAGUCCCGGCUAACUUCGUGCCAGCAGCCGCGGUAAUACGAAGGGGACUAGCGUUGUUCGGAAUCACUGGGCGUAAAGCGCACGUAGGCGGAUUUGUAAGUCAGGGGUGAAAUCCCGGGGCUCAACCUCGGAACUGCCUUUGAUACUGCGAAUCUUGAGUCCGAUAGAGGUGGGUGGAAUUCCUAGUGUAGAGGUGAAAUUCGUAGAUAUUAGGAAGAACACCGGUGGCGAAGGCGGCCCACUGGAUCGGUACUGACGCUGAGGUGUGAAAGCGUGGGGAGCAAACAGGAUUAGAUACCCUGGUAGUCCACGCCGUAAACGAUGGAUGCUAGCCGUCGGAUAGCUUGCUAUUCGGUGGCGCAGCUAACGCAUUAAGCAUCCCGCCUGGGGAGUACGGCCGCAAGGUUAAAACUCAAAGGAAUUGACGGGGCCCGCACAAGCGGUGGAGCAUGUGGUUUAAUUCGACGCACGCGAGACCUUACCAGCUCUUGACAUGUCCGGACGGUUCCAGA
rnacentral:rRNA from 1 species